UAAUUAUCACUCUUGAUUUUUGACAUUUUUUUUUUACUUUUCAACCCAAAAUUUCUCAUUCCUUAUUUUCGGAUUUGGAGAGGUGACGCACAUUUUAUUUACUGUUGUGCAAGCUGUGGCAAUUGCAAUUGGCAUUAAAAAGUAAGGUAUAAUAUUUUUAUGUUCUUGCUGUGAUUUAUUAUUGUAGUUUAUUGCAACUAUAUCCUGCUAUGCAGAUGUUGAAGGGUUAAUAAUGUAACCCUUGCUUGUGUAAUUCGGUGCAAAAUUUCUCAUGUGUCCUCAUUUACAGAUUUGGAGAGGUGACGCACAUUUUAUGCAAGCUGUGGCAAUUGCAAUUUGCAGUGAAAAAAACUUAUCAAAAGGUCUCUAAAGAUAUCACCGACCAUAAAAUGAAAAAAAUAAUUGGAGAUUGACUUAACCAAGCACACACAAGAGUUUUCCUAGGCCGGUGCCAAAUUUAACAUCAUAGCAGAGGACAUCAUCUUAUAUUUUUUGUUCUGUUAAAAUUAUUGUUUGUCUUGUAACUUAGGCCGUUAUUUUGUUUUUUUACAAUGCCAUGUUUAAAAUGUUAUAAUCAUUGGAAAAUUUGCAACUAAUAAAAGUUUGAAUUACUUGUGUAAGAGUCAA